rnacentral:rRNA from 1 species
GUAGGUGGCAAGCGUUGUCCGGAAUUAUUGGGCGUAAAGCGCGCGCAGGCGGUUCGUUUAAGUCUGAUGUGAAAGCCCACGGGCUCAACCGUGGAGGGUCAUUGGAAACUGGAGAACUUGAGUACAGAAGAGGAAAGCGGAAUUCCACGUGUAGCGGUGAAAUGCGUAGAGAUGUGGAGGAACACCAGUGGCGAAGGCGGCUUUCUGGUCUGUAACUGACGCUGAGGCGCGAAAGCGUGGGGAGCAAACAGGAUUAGAUACCCUGGUAGUCCACGCCGUAAACGAUGAGUGCUAAGUGUUACGGGGGUUUCCGCCCCUUAGUGCUGCAGCUAACGCAUUAAGCACUCCGCCUGGGGAGUACGGCCGCAAGGCUG